rnacentral:rRNA from 1 species
CCUAAGGGUGAGUCGGCGGCUGAUUAGGUUGUUGGUGAGGUAACGGCUCACCAAGCCGACGAUCAGUAGGGGAGAUGAGAGUCUAAGCCUCAAGAAGGACACUGAGAUACUGGUCCUAGCCCUAAGGGGUGCAGCAGUCACGGAAACUUUACAAUGCGCGAAAGCGUGAUAAGGGUAUCCUAAGUGCUUAUGUUUUACAUAGGCUUUUGCCAAGUGUAAAAAGCUUGGAGAAUAAGUGGUGGGAAAGACUGGUGCCAGCCGCCGCGGUAACACCAGCGCCACAAGUGGUAACCAUGAUUAUUGGGCCUAAAGCGUUCGUAGCCGGUUUGAUAACUUUCUUGUGAAAUUGUUCAGCUUAACUGAUCAACGUGCAAGAAAAACUGUCAAACUUGGAACCGGUAGGGGAUAGAGGUAUUUCAAGGGGAGCGGUAAAAUGCUAUAAUCCUUGGAGGACCACCAAUGGCGAAGGCAUCUAUCCAGGACGGAUUCGACGGUCAGGAACGAAGGCUAGGGGAGCAAAACGGAUUAGAUACCCGAGUAGUCCUAGCUGUAAACGCUGUGAGCUGAGUGUUGCAUUUUCUUCGUGAAUGUGCAGCGCUUAAGUGAAGAUGUUAAGCUCACCGCCUGGGAAGUAUAGUCGCAAGACCGAAACUUAAAGGAAUUGGCGGGGGCUCGCUACAAGGAGUGCGGCGUGCGGUUUAAUCUAACUAUACGCAGAAAAUCUUACCAGCAGCGACGGCAGAAUGAAGGUCAGAUUGAAGGUUUUACCUAACAAGCCGAGAGGUGGUGCAUGGCCGUCGUCAGUUCGUGCCGUAAGGUGUUACGUUAAGUCGUAAAACGAACGAGACCCAUGCCUACAUUUGCUAGCAUCUUCUCCGGAAGGAAUGAGCACAAUGUAGGAACUGCCUUGGAAACAAGGAGGAAGGUGUGGGCAACGAUAGGUCUGUAUGCCCCGAAUCUGCUGGGCUACACGCGCGCAACAAUGGUAUGGACAAUGGGAUGCAACUCUGAAAAGAGAAGCUAAACCUCUAAACCAUAUCCUAGUUCAGAUUGAGGGCUGUAAUUCGCCCUCAUGACGAUGGAAUUCCUAGUAAUCGGGUUUCAACACGACCCGGUGAACACGUCCCCGAGCCUUGCACACACUGCCCGUCAAGCCAACCGAGCAGGGUUUUGGUGAGGACUAAUUUUUUGAUUAGUUCGAAUCAGAGUUCAGUGAGGUGGGUUAAGUCGUCACAAGGUAUCCGUAGGGGAACCUGCGGAUG